rnacentral:misc_RNA from 1 species
CAAGAACUUGUUGGUUGGGUCUAAAGUGGACUUGAGCUCCAUUAAAGCUCUUAGCUCCGUGUUUCCGCGAACAUGUUGUAGAGUUGCCAGUGCAAAAAACAGAGUGACGAGGUGAUGAAAGUAGAAGAAACCCAUGUUCGUUUUUCCCUCUAAGACUCUCUUCCUUUUUUCACUUACUGAAAAGAAUCAGAUAAUGGAAAACCCAUUUUCUACGCCUUCAUCAAAAUUCUCUCUCCAUGGAAUUUUUAACACUGCAGCAUGAAAGUCUUAUUCUUUUUCUCUUCCCUUUGAAAUUGCAAGGCAAAAGAACAAGAAAGAAAAGAAAAUAAGAAAGACUUAACUUGUUUUUAACGAGCAAUGACUCAACUUUUCUCUUCUGAACUUUGUGUUUUGAGUUGCUGAUCUCUAUAUCUGUAUUCUUCAGAAAUCUUGUUAUUUCUAAAAGCUCCAAAAGAAGCAAAUAACACAGACAAAGUUCUGUUCCUUUUCCUCCCAGUAUUAUCUCCGUACUGAUCCACUUAAAUGAUGGAAGGUAGGAGAAGCAUACUACAGACAAUGCAGUGUCGGAAAGACAUGUAAAUG